rnacentral:tRNA from 1 species
UAUGCUUAGGUGUUUUGUGCACGAGGAGUUUUGAGCUCUUAAGGUAUAGCUCGUUGCUAUAAAGUAUAA